rnacentral:rRNA from 1 species
CUAAUAACCUAGCCGUAUAAUAUUUUAUAUUCCCCCCCACCCAUUUUAUCCAACACAAUAAAACAUUCUUUUAAUCUAGUAAAGGCGAUAAAAAAAUUUUAUAGAGCUAAACAAGAAGUACCGAAAGGGAAAGAUGAAAUAAAAAUGAAACAAACACUUAAGCACAAAAAAGUAAAGAUUUACUCUUGUACCUUUUGCAUCAUGGUUUAACUAGUUCUUAUCAAGCAAAAUGAAUUUUAGUUUGACCCCCCGAAACUAAGUGAGCUACCCCAAGGCAGCUUUAUGAGCCAACCCGUCUCUGUUGCAAAAGAGUGGGAAGAUCUUUGGGUAGAGGUGAUAAAUCAAACGAACUUAGUAAUAGCUGGUUCCUCAAGAAAAGAAUUUUAGUUCCCCCUAAAGCUAUAAAAUGAAAAUAAAACAAUCACUUCUGCUUUAGAGCUAUUCAAAUAAGGUACAGCCUGUUUGAAAUAGGGCACAACCUAAACUAAUAGGUUAUAUUUAAUAAAAUAAUAAAGUAGGCCUAAAAGCAGCCAUCUUUAAAACAGCGUCAAAGCUUAAUUUAUUUAAUUUUCUUAAUAACAAAAAUUAUUUAAAACCUUUUAACACUAUUGAGGAAUUCUAUAACACUAUAGAAUUUAUUAUGUUAAAACUAGUAACAAGAAGCAAACCCUUCUCUUUAAUGUAAGCAUAAGCCAGAAAGGAUAAACCACUGUCAAUUAACACUAAUGAACCCUAAUUAGCAACAUCCCAAGAAAAACCUAAUUAAAUUUAUGUUAACCUAACACAAGCACAUUUCAAGAAAGAUUUUAAAAAAAAGAAGGAACUCGGCAAACAAAACCCCGCCUGUUUACCAAAAACAUCGCCUCUUGAAAUUAGAUAAGAGGUCCAGCCUGCCCAGUGAAUUAAUUCAACGGCCGCGGUAUCCUAACCGUGCGAAGGUAGCGUAAUCACUUGUUCUUUAAAUGAGGACUAGUAUGAAUGGCACCACGAGGGUUUUACUGUCUCCUUUUUUUAAUCAGUGAAACUAAUCUUCCCGUGAAGAAGCGGGAAUAUUUUUAUAAGACGAGAAGACCCUAUGGAGCUUUAAAUUAAUUUACAUUUGCUGCAACCUACUUAUUUUCUGAAACACUCAAAUAAAGCAUAGCACCUUGAUUAUUAAUUUUCGAUUGGGGUGAUCACGGAGCAAAAAAUAACCUCCAUGUUGAAAGGAUAAACUCCUGAGCAAAAAGACACAACUUUAUGCACUAAAAAACUAACACAUAUUGAUCCAAUAUUUUGAUCAACGAACCAAGUUACCCUAGGGAUAACAGCGCAAUCCACUUCAAGAGCUCCUAUCGACAAGUGGGUUUACGACCUCGAUGUUGGAUCAGGGUAUCCUAGUGGUGCAGCCGCUACUAAUGGUUCGUUUGUUCAACGAUUAAAACCCU